ACUCUGGCGGCGUGCUUAACACAUGCAAGUCGAACGGAAAGGCCCUGCUUUUGUGGGGUGCUCGAGUGGCGAACGGGUGAGUAACACGUGAGUAACCUGCCCUUGACUUUGGGAUAACUUCAGGAAACUGGGGCUAAUACCGGAUAGGAGCUCCUGCUGCAUGGUGGGGGUUGGAAAGUUUCGGCGGUUGGGGAUGGACUCGCGGCUUAUCAGCUUGUUGGUGGGGUAGUGGCUUACCAAGGCUUUGACGGGUAGCCGGCCUGAGAGGGUGACCGGCCACAUUGGGACUGAGAUACGGCCCAGACUCCUACGGGAGGCAGCAGUGGGGAAUAUUGCACAAUGGGCGGAAGCCUGAUGCAGCAACGCCGCGUGCGGGAUGACGGCCUUCGGGUUGUAAACCGCUUUCGCCUGUGACGAAGCGUGAGUGACGGUAAUGGGUAAAGAAGCACCGGCUAACUACGUGCCAGCAGCCGCGGUGAUACGUAGGGUGCGAGCGUUGUCCGGAUUUAUUGGGCGUAAAGGGCUCGUAGGUGGUUGAUCGCGUCGGAAGUGUAAUCUUGGGGCUUAACCCUGAGCGUGCUUUCGAUACGGGUUGACUUGAGGAAGGUAGGGGAGAAUGGAAUUCCUGGUGGAGCGGUGGAAUGCGCAGAUAUCAGGAGGAACACCAGUGGCGAAGGCGGUUCUCUGGGCCUUUCCUGACGCUGAGGAGCGAAAGCGUGGGGAGCGAACAGGCUUAGAUACCCUGGUAGUCCACGCUGUAAACGGUGGGUACUAGGUGUGGGGUCCAUUCCACGGGUUCCGUGCCGUAGCUAACGCUUUAAGUACCCCGCCUGGGGAGUACGGCCGCAAGGCUAAAACUCAAAGGAAUUGACGGGGCCCCGCACAAGCGGCGGAGCAUGCGGAUUAAUUCGAUGCAACGCGUAGAACCUUACCUGGGUUUGACAUGGAUCGGGAGUGCUCAGAGAUGGGUGUGCCUCUUUUGGGGUCGGUUCACAGGUGGUGCAUGGCUGUCGUCAGCUCGUGUCGUGAGAUGUUGGGUUAAGUCCCGCAACGAGCGCAACCCUUGUUCACUGUUGCCAGCACGUUAUGGUGGGGACUCAGUGGAGACCGCCGGGGUCGACUCGGAGGAAGGUGGGGAUGACGUCAAGUCAUCAUGCCCCUUAUGUCCAGGGCUUCACGCAUGCUACAAUGGCUGGUACAGAGAGUGGCGAGCCUGUGAGGGUGAGCGAAUCUCGGAAAGCCGGUCUCAGUUCGGAUUGGGGUCUGCAACUCGACCUCAUGAAGUCGGAGUCGCUAGUAAUCGCAGAUCAGCAACGCUGCGGUGAAUACGUUCCCGGGGCUUGUACACACCGCCCGUCAAGUCAUGAAAGUUGGUAACACCCGAAGCCGGUGGCCUAACCGUUGUGGGGGAGCCGUCGAAGGUGGGACUGGUGAUUAGGACUAA
rnacentral:rRNA from 1 species